GAACCAAGGCCUUCUUCUCUGAGCUGGCUGAGCAGCUGGGAGUUUCUAGUUCUGGAAUCUUCUUUCUUCCAGCAUCAGCCAUGCAGGAAGGGCAGGAGGAGGUGAGGCCCACAGUCCCAGCCCGGGAGUAAGAAUCCUGUUGCUGUGUGAGCCUGCAUUUAUCAAACAAAGACCGAAGCAGAAUAGCAGCUGUGCUGUGAACACUAGAACCUGAGGCAGAGAUGAGCCUGGGACAACCAGCUGUCUCCCGGGCUGUCUCCGGGAUGACGCUCCCUGGAAUGCCUGCACGUGUUUCCAUUCCUUGGCUGCACCCAGCUCUGAAGAAAUCCUGUUACAUUCUUGAACUUGAGCCAGGCUAAAGGGCUCAGCUGAUCUUGAGGUCAAGAAGGGGCUUGUCUUUGGGCUUCAACAGGCACUCUGCCCCUAUGCCCAAGAUGAGAAGCCUGCACAGGACUUUUCAAUGGCAAGACCAGGCUGCAACUUCAAUGAUGGCAUCUCUCUAGACCGUCAUCUUAUCUGGGACAGGUAUGAAAGCAUUCCAUUUACAAUGGAAGAUCUGCUCUUUAGAGCAGACAUCUCUGGUGGAAUCCUAACUGGCCCCAUGUGGUGCCACCAAGCAGUACAGGUUUCCACCUCUUGUCAUGCCAGCUUGUGCAUUCCCUCAGGAUUGUGACAGUGAGCAAGGCCUGCAAAUGUACCUCAUACCCAGUGGGUCAAACAUCCAAAGAACAGAAUUCACUGCUAUCUCUGUACAGUAACACUGCUUUUAGUUGUUGUGUAAGUUCUUUUAGUUUUUGUAUGAGUUCUUAGGCAGCCUGAUACUUACCCAGAAUAAGAAACACAGUCUUUUCCCUUCUUUCCAUAAAUAAAUAUGGGGCUGUGGGGCCCCAUAGGACCUUGCCCUCAAGCUGGAUCAACAAUGGUAGAGAAUGUUCCAUCCUCCAAAGGGAGGAUGGACAACAUCCUCUAUGCUACACCUGAGGAAGAUGGGUCGAUACUGGGGCAGCUUGGAAUGUUCCUGCUCAUGACCACAGAAUGUGAGCUCAGAUCUAGAGGGAUGUAGAGGUUACACAGGCUCCUAAGCUAAUUAUGGAUCCCAGGUCACAUCAAAUUGAUGGGGUUUACAAUAAUAUUUAUACCCCUUCCUCAUAUUAGGGUGCUACUCUCUUCCCUGAUCCAGCUUUCUGGUCCUUUUCCCAGCCAUGACAUCAUCUCCCCAGACAAUAAUUAGCAUCCACCUGCAUAUCAGAUUUCAGGCUCAGGAAAAAAAAAAAAAAAACUAGUAUAGCUACAGGCCCUUUGAAAUAUAACUAAAAUAUGCCUAUUAGCUAUCUACAAAAUGGGGGACCCCCCCCUGAAACACUUCACAUGCACUAUUCCAGUCUUUAGGUCCAUGAUUGUCCAAAAAUUUGUUUGGCUUUGUAUAUUAACUCUUUUUUCAGCCACCAGGUUCCAGAUGCUAUCAGGAUGCGACCAGACCUCCCUGGACAGACAACCCCACCAAUAUGCCUUGGAGCUCUGCUUCCCCAGAGCCCUUCCCCACUAGGGAAAGAGAGAGACAGGCUGGGAGUAUGGAUCGACCUGUCAACGCCCAUGUUCAGCGGGGAAGCAAUUACAGAAGCCAGACCUUCCACCUUCUGCAUCCACAAUGAUCUAGGGUCCAUACUCCCAGAGGGUUAAAGAAUAGGAAAGCUAUCAGGGGAGGCGAUGGGAUACAGAGGUCUGGUGGUGGGAAUUGUGCAAAGCUGUACCCCUCUUAUCCUAUGG